rnacentral:rRNA from 1 species
UACGGAGGAUGCAAGCGUUAUCCGGAUUUAUUGGGUUUAAAGGGUGCGUAGGCGGGGAAAUAAGUCAGCGGUGAAAUCUUAGAGCUUAACUCUAAAACUGCCAUUGAUACUGUUUUUCUUGAGUAUAGUUGAAGUAAAUGGAAUGUGUUGUGUAGCGGUGAAAUGCAUAGAUAUAACACAGAACACCUAUUGCGAAAGCAGUUUGCUAAGCUAUCACUGACGCUGAGGCACGAAAGCGUGGGGAUCAAACAGG